rnacentral:rRNA from 1 species
GACGAACGCUGGCGGCGUGCUUAACACAUGCAAGUCGACCGGAUAGGCCCUGCUUUUUUGUGGUGUUCGCGUGGCGAACGGGUGAGUAACAUGUGAAUCUCCUGCCCUUUACUUUUGGAUAACUUCAGGAAACUGGGGCUACUACCUGCUACGAGCUCCUGCUGCAUGGUGGUCGUUGGACCGUUUCGGCGGGUGGGGAUCGACUUGCGGUUUAUCAGCUUGUUGGUUGGGUAGUGGCUUACCAAGCCAUUGACUGGUAGCCGGCCUGAGUGGUUGGACGGCGACAUGGGGACUGCGGUACGGCCCAGACGGCGAAAGGAGACAGCAGUGGAGAAGAUUACACAAUGGUCGGGAGUGUGAGGAAGCAGCGCCGCGUGUGGAAAGAAGGCCUACGUGUUGGAAACCGCAGUAGCCUGUGACGAAGCGUGAGUGACGGUAAUAGGUAAAGAAGCACCGGCUAACUACGUG